rnacentral:rRNA from 1 species
CAGUCGCCACGGGAAAACGGAGGGUGCAAGCGUUAUCCGGAUUUAUUGGGUUUAAAGGGUCCGUAGGCGGACUUAUAAGUCAGUGGUGAAAGCCUGUCGCUUAACGAUAGAACUGCCAUUGAUACUGUAAGUCUUGAGUAUAUUUGAGGUAGCUGGAAUAAGUAGUGUAGCGGUGAAAUGCAUAGAUAUUACUUAGAACACCAAUUGCGAAGGCAGGUUACCAAGAUAUAACUGACGCUGAGGGACGAAAGCGUGGGUAGCGAACAGGAUUAGAUACCCGAGUAGUCCCUGUCUCUUAUAU